UACUGGUAGCUCCUCUCUGCACAAGUAUGCGACAUUACUGGUAGCUCCUCUCUGCACAAGUAUGCGACAUUACUGGUAGCUCCUCUCUGCACAAAUAUACAACAUUACUGGUAGCUCCUCUCAGCACAAGUAUGCGACAUUACUUGUAGCUCCUCUCUGCACAAGUAUGCGACAUUACUGGUAGCUCCGCUCUGCACAAGUAUGCGACAUUACUGGUAGCUCCUCUCAGCACAAGUAUUCAACAUUACGUGUAGCUCCUCUCUGCACAAGUAUGCAACAUUACUGGUAGCUCCUCUCUGCACAAGUAUACAACAUUACUUGUAGCUCCUCUCAGCAAAAGUAUGCGACAUUACUUGUAGCUCCUCUCUGCACAAGUAUACAACAUUACUGGUAGCUCCUCUCUGCACAAGUAUGCGACAUUACUGGUAGCUCCUCUCUGCACAAGUAUACAACAUUACUGGUAGCUCCUCUCUGCACAAGUAUACAACAUUACUGGUAGCUCCUCUCUGCACAAGUAUGCGACAUUACUGGUAGCUCCUCUCUGCACAAGUAUACAACAUUACUGGUAGCUCCUCUCUGCACAAGUAUGCGACAUCUCUGUAGAAGUAUGCGACUUUAUUGCUCCUCUCUGCACAAAAGGAGAUGGCAGGUUUUAGCAGUGAAAGAUGUGAAUGAUAUCAUGUGAAAGUUUCCUGGGUCGUCUGUCGGUCCUUUCUUGUGUAUUAAUUUGAAAAAAGACUGAAGUACUGUUCCAUAAUAAAACUUGAAGCCUUUUCCUGUGUUUUGAUUCAUCAUGAGAAGGAAUGAGAGUAGAGGUGCUUACGGUUCGGACCAAAGAAACUCGGCACGAUACUUGAUUUUUGUAUAACCCAGGGCAACGCCAGUUGCGAAACAUGUUAUGUAUAUGUAUAUGUUAUAUUAAAGCAUAUUAGGUUUAUUGAUUGAUUAUAACUGACCUUUUAAAAAUGGGAAUGAGUUUAUUACAUUAGAGGUUAUUGAUUAUAUGAUGACGACAACAUUGGGUAAAUUAUCUUACUUAUUUAGGUCUAUAUUGUCCUGCCUGCAUAUUGCAUCAAAAUUUUCAUUUUUUAACCCUAUUCCUGCUGGGGGGGGGUCAAUUUGACCC